rnacentral:tRNA from 1 species
CGGGUCGUAGUCCAGGGCGAGGUCUUUCGGGUCCGCACCGAAAUCGUACGCAAGGCGGGCGAGGGUCCGGUAUCCCCUGACUUGU